GAUGAACGCUGGCGGCGUGCCUAAUACAUGCAAGUCGAGCGAACAGACGAGGAGCUUGCUCCUCUGACGUUAGCGGCGGACGGGUGAGUAACACGUGGAUAACCUACCUAUAAGACUGGGAUAACUUCGGGAAACCGGAGCGAAUACCGGAUAAUAUAUUGAACCGCAUGGUUCAAUAGUGAAAGACGGUUUUGCUGUCACUUAUAGAUGGAUCCGCGCCGCAUUAGCUAGUUGGUAAGGUAACGGCUUACCAAGGCGACGAUGCGUAGCCGACCUGAGAGGGUGAUCGGCCACACUGGAACUGAGACACGGUCCAGACUCCUACGGGAGGCAGCAGUAGGGAAUCUUCCGCAAUGGGCGAAAGCCUGACGGAGCAACGCCGCGUGAGUGAUGAAGGUCUUCGGAUCGUAAAACUCUGUUAUUAGGGAAGAACAAAUGUGUAAGUAACUAUGCACGUCUUGACGGUACCUAAUCAGAAAGCCACGGCUAACUACGUG
rnacentral:rRNA from 1 species